AUUGAACGCUGGCGGCAGGCCUAACACAUGCAAGUCGAACGAGUGGCGGACGGGUGAGUAAUGUAUGGGGAACUGCCUGAUGGAGGGGGAUAACUACUGGAAACGAUAGCUAAUACCGCAUACCAUCGGAUGAGCCCAGAUGGGAAUAGCUUGUUGGUGGGGUAAAGGCUCACCAAGGCGACGAUCCCUAGCUGGUCUGAGAGGAUGAACAGCCACACUGGAACUGAGACACGGUCCAGACUCCUACGGGAGGCAGCAGUGGGGAAUAUUGCACAAUGGGCGCAAGCCUGAUGCAGCCAUGCCGCGUGUAUGAAGAAGGCCUUCGGGUUGUAAAGUACUUUCAGCGGGGAGGCGUUACCCGCAGAAGAAGCACCGGCUAACUCCGUGCCAGCCGCCGCGGUAAUAC
rnacentral:rRNA from 1 species